GACGAACGCUGGCGGCGUGCUUAACACAUGCAAGUCGAACGGGAUCCAAAGGCUUUUUGUUUUUGGUGAGGGUGGCGAACGGGUGAGUAACACGUGAGUAACCUGCCCCCUUCUUUUGGAUAACCGCAUGAAAGUGUGGCUAAUACAGGAUAUUCCAGGCUGGUCGCAUGAUUGGUUUGGGAAAUGGUUUGGUCUGGUGGGGGAUGGGCUCGCGGCCUAUCAGCUUGUUGGUGGGGUGAUGGCCUACCAAGGCGGUGACGGGUAGCCGGCCUGAGAGGGUGGGCGGUCACACUGGGACUGAGAUACGGCCCAGACUCCUACGGGAGGCAGCAGUGGGGGAUUUUGCACAAUGGGCGCAAGCCUGAUGCAGCGACGCCGCGUGAGGGAUGAAGGCCUUCGGGUUGUAAACCUCUUUCGCUGGGUUGAAAGGCCAUGCUUUGGGUGUGGUUGAUUUGAACUGGUAAAGAAGUACCGGCUAACUACGU
rnacentral:rRNA from 1 species